UACGGCUACAUCAUGUUGAAACAUCGCUUCUCGUACGAUCACUGAAGUUAAGCAACAUUGUGCCUGGAUAGUACCUAGAUGGGUGACUGCUUGGAAGUACCAGGUGCUGUAA